UACGUAGGGUGCGAGCGUUAAUCGGAAUUACUGGGCGUAAAGCGUGCGCAGGCGGUUGUGCAAGACAGAGGGGAAAUCCCCGGGCUUAACCUGGGAAUGGCCUUUGUGACUGCACGGCUAGAGUGUAUCAGAGGGGGGUAGAAUUCCACGUGUAGCAGUGAAAUGCGUAGAGAUGUGGAGGAAUACCGAUGGCGAAGGCAGCCCCCUGGGCCAAUACUGACGCUCAUGCACGAAAGCGUGGGUAGCAAACAGG
rnacentral:rRNA from 1 species